AGAGUUUGAUCCUGGCUCAGGAUGAACGCUAGCUACAGGCUUAACACAUGCAAGUCGAGGGGCAGCAUAUUUAUAGCAAUAUAAAUGAUGGCGACCGGCGCACGGGUGAGUAACACGUAUCCAACCUCCCUUUUACUCGGGGAUAGCCUUUCGAAAGAAAGAUUAAUACCCGAUAGUAUAUGGUUUUCUCAUGAAGAUCCUAUUAAAGAAUUUCGGUAAAAGAUGGGGAUGCGUUCCAUUAGGCAGUUGGCGGGGUAACGGCCCACCAAACCUACGAUGGAUAGGGGUUCUGAGAGGAAGGUCCCCCACAUUGGAACUGAGACACGGUCCAAACUCCUACGGGAGGCAGCAGUGGGGAAUAUUGCACAAUGGGCGAAAGCCUGAUGCAGCAACGCCGCGUGAGUGAUGAAGGUCUUCGGAUUGUAAAGCUCUGUCUUUUGGGACGAUAAUGACGGUACCAAAGGAGGAAGCCACGGCUAACUACGUGCCAGCAGCCGCGGUAAUACGUAGGUGGCAAGCGUUGUCCGGAAUUACUGGGCGUAAAGGAUGUGUAGGCGGAUAUUUAAGUGAGAUGUGAAAUCCCCGAGCUCAACUUGGGGGCUGCAUUUCAAACUGGGUAUCUAGAGUGCAGGAGAGGAAAGCGGAAUUCCUAGUGUAGCGGUGAAAUGCGUAGAGAUUAGGAAGAACAUCAGUGGCGAAGGCGGCUUUCUGGACUGUAACUGACGCUGAGGCAUGAAAGCGUGGGGAGCAAACAGGAUUAGAUACCCUGGUAGUCCGCGCCGUAAACGAUGAAUACUAGGUGUCGGGGAGCAUAAGCUCUUCGGUGCCGCAGCUAACGCAAUAAGUAUUCCACCUGGGGAGUACGUUCGCAAGAAUGAAACUCAAAGGAAUUGACGG
rnacentral:rRNA from 1 species